rnacentral:rRNA from 1 species
AUACGUAGGGAGCGAGCGUUGUCCGGAAUUACUGGGCGUAAAGGGUGCGUAGGCGGCCUGUUAAGUCAGAUGUGAAAUACCCGGGCUUAACCCGGGGGGUGCAUCUGAUACUGGCAGGCUUGAGUGCAGGAGAGGAAAGCGGAAUUCCUAGUGUAGCGGUGAAAUGCGUAGAUAUUAGGAGGAACACCAGUGGCGAAGGUGGCUUUCUGGACUGUAACUGACGCUGAGGCACGAAAGCGUGGGGAGCAAACAGGAUUAGAUACCCUGGUAGUCCACGCCGUAAACGAUGGAUACUAGGUGUAGGGGUCAAAAGACUUCUGUGCCGCAGCAAACGCAUUAAGUAUCCCGCCUGGGGAGUACGGCCGCAAGGCUGAAACUCAAAGGAAUUGACGGGG